AACGAACGCUGGCGGCAUGCCUAACACAUGCAAGUCGAACGAGACCUUCGGGUCUAGUGGCGCACGGGUGCGUAACGCGUGGGAACCUGCCCUUAGGUUCGGAAUAACUCCCCGAAAGGGGUGCUAAUACCGGAUAAUGUCUUCGGACCAAAGAUUUAUCGCCUUUGGAUGGGCCCGCGUUGGAUUAGCUAGUUGGUAGGGUAAAAGCCUACCAAGGCGACGAUCCAUAGCUGGUCUGAGAGGAUGAUCAGCCACACUGGGACUGAGACACGGCCCACACACCGACGGGGAGCAGCAGUGGGGAGUAUUGGACAAUGGAGGCAAGCCUGACCCAGCCAUGCCGCGUGAGGGAUAAAGGCCAUAGGGUAGUAAAGCUCCUUCAUGGGGGACGAGAAGGACGGUACCCACAAAAGAAGCCACGGCUAACUGCGUG
rnacentral:rRNA from 1 species